rnacentral:rRNA from 1 species
GCUUGCUUUCUUUGCUGGCGACCGGCGCACGGGUGAGUAACACGUAUCCAACCUACCCUUUACUCGGGGAUAGCCUUUCGAAAGAAAGAUUAAUACCCGAUAGCAUAAUGAUUCCGCAUGGUUUCAUUAUUAAAGGAUUCCGGUAAAGGAUGGGGAUGCGUUCCAUUAGGUUGUUGGUGGGGUAACGGCCCACCAAGCCUUCGAUGGAUAGGGGUUCUGAGAGGAAGGUCCCCCACAUUGGAACUGAGACACGGUCCAAACUCCUACGGGAGGCAGCAUGC